rnacentral:tmRNA from 1 species
GGGGCUGAUUCUGGAUUCGACGGGAUUUGCGAAACCCAAGGUGCAUGCCGAGGGGCGGUUGGCCUCGUAAAAAGCCGCAAAAAAUAGUCGCAAACGACGAAAACUACGCUUUAGCAGCUUAAUAACCUGCUUAGAGCCCUCUCUCCCUAGCCUCCGCUCUUGGGACGGGGAUCAAGAGAGGUCAAACCCAAAAGAGAUCGCGUGGAAGCCCUGCCUGGGGUUGAAGCGUUAAAACUUAAUCAGGCUAGUUUGUUAGUGGCGUGUCCGUCCGCAGCUGGCAAGCGAAUGUAAAGACUGACUAAGCAUGUAGUACCGAGGAUGUAGGAAUUUCGGACGCGGGUUCAACUCCCGCCAGCUCCACCA